AUGGCCCCUGGAUUGGACUGCGGCCGAUCAGGCUGUUGGUGAGGUAAUGGCCCACCAAACCUGUAACCGGUACGGGCUCUGAGAGGAGGAGCCCGGAGAUGGGCACUGAGACAAGGGCCCAGGCCCUAUGGGGCGCAGCAGGCGCGAAACCUCUGCAAUAGGCGAAAGCCUGACAGGGUUACUCUGAGUGAUUUCCGUUAAGGAGAUCUUUUGGCACCUCUAAAAAUGGUGCAGAAUAAGGGGUGGGCAAGUCUGGUGUCAGCCGCCGCGGUAAUACCAGCACCCCGAGUGGUCGGGACGUUUAUUGGGCCUAAAGCAUCCGUAGCCGGUUCUGCAAGUCUUCCGUUAAAUCCACCUGCUUAACAGAUGGGCCGCGGAAGAUACUAUAGAGCUAGGAGGCGGGAGAGGCAAGCGGUACUCGAUGGGUAGGGGUAAAAUCCGUUGAUCCAUUGAAGACCACCAGUGGCGAAGGCGGCUUGCCAGAACGCGCUCGACGGUGAGGGAUGAAAGCUGGGGGAGCAAACCGGAUUAGAUACCCGGGUAGUCCCAGCUGUAAACGAUGCAGACUCGGUGAUGAAUUGGCUUUAUGCCAAUUCAGUGCCGCAGGGAAGCCGUUAAGUUUGCCGCCUGGGGAGUACGGUCGCAAGACUGAAA
rnacentral:rRNA from 1 species